GCUCCAAAACUCCACUGUCACUCUUAUUCAGUCCCUGCUAUGCUAUGCUUAGUGCUGGGCUUGUCCAGGAGAGGUACUCGAUGAUCUGGUUGGAUUUAAUCUAAUCACACGAGUCAUCAAAAGCACAGAACUUUCUCAGGCUGGAAACAGAAUGAUGUGGCAGAUAAGUCAGAAAUCUAAAGCAUUAGAGACCUCAACACACGUUACUUGAAGACACCAAAUAAAGCACAAGAAAUAACGUGGGCAGCUGCAGUAAUGUGGUUAGGAGCAAAGGCCAAAUGUCAUCUGAUACCCAGCAAGGGGAUGGAAACAUUAUCCUGCAAUCAAAGAGAAACAAAAUGAACCACGAACCUAAAUGAGCUUCAGGCAGAUUCUUCCCCAGUGCUCCCAGUAAGGAAUGCAGCCCUGCCAACAGCUUGAUUUCAGCCUUAAGAAACCCUCAGCAUUUAGGGCUCUGGAUUUCUGAUUUACAGAAACUACAAUAUAAGAAGUUGUUUUA